UCUAUCAUGCCAUCAAUGAUAAUAAUGGAUGCAACAACUACUAUCAUGCUAGUAUCAUGUCAUGAGUAUAUAAAGGUGCAUAGUAAUGUAAACUACAACAUACACUAUGUCUACUCAAGGCAAUAAUGCAAGUCUACUAUACAUUUCAUGUUUAUUACCCAAUUUACUUGGUUAACCCGUAGGUUAAACCCUCGACUCACUCUCAAUCUCAUAGGUGAGGAGAAACUGCACUCGCACACCGAGACCGUCUGCGGGACAACUACGUCUGCCCCUAGUGAAGUACUCCGGAGACUCGUGCCUCGGUGGAGCGACCACCGACAAGCAAAAACAGACUAGUUAGUAUGAUCCAAUCCUCACAAAAGGAUACCCUGUCUACUAGGGUCAAUGUGCCUCUGCUGCACAAUCAUGAUAUAUAAUCCAUGUCGGGACUUCUACUAUCCCUAAGUUCAUGUCAAGUUUACUACACUAGACUCGAUGCCACUCAUUCGAUCAUUGUAGUAAGUUUUCUACUAGUUGACAUGCCACUCGUUCAAAUUUAGUGUUUCUACUACACUAGUUCAAUGCCACUCUACUAGACUAUGUCCAAGUUCGGCUCUCUAUGCCGCUAUAGGAUUCUAUGUCACAAGACCCAAUCCUCAUGCUAUCCUAGUCCACGUAUCAAGCUCACCCCGCUACACUACUAAGUAAGCAUGCAAGGAAAUGGAAAUGUACAAUUACUAUAUCCUAUAGCACAAUAUGAUCAAUAUAAAUACUUAGACAUAAAAAGAAACCCGGAUGUUUCGAGACGACACCCUCCACCUCUUGGUGAUGUCUUGAAGCUACGAUUCCGUUUCCAAGAUUUUUGGAAGCUUUCGCCGCGUGCUGUGGCAAUCUGUACCCUAGCGGCUUAGAUCUUCGAUAUCUCCGCGUACACUCGUCGGAUUGCCGAACCGAGCGCACCGUUGUGUCGAAAUACCUACCAAUUAGGUUAGAUGAUGGUCAAAUGAGAUCAAUCCUUUACUUUUCCAAAAACCCUCUUUUGGUGCCCUAGGGUUAGCAUCAAGCUAAACCCAUCUCAAAACCCUAGAUUCUAGCUCCAAUCCUACCAUUCAUUGUGCUAGGAAUCCAUUUGAUCCCAUCCAAAGAGCUAAAACCCAAAAACCCUAAAUUCAUAAGCUAGGGUUGGAAGCUUACAUCUAGGUUAGCUUAAAAGAGAGAGAAGAGGAUGAGGGCGAAGUCCAAAAGCUUGCUUUUGUUGGUCUCCUUCUUCUUCUCCUUCCCUUUCUUCCUUCUUUUCCUUCUCUUUUCCUUUUCUUCUUCUUCUUCUUCUUUCCCUUCUAUAGAGAGAGAGAGAGCAAGAGAGUGUGAGGGGGAGAGAGAGUAGAAUGAGAGAGUGAGAGGGAGAGAGGGGCUAAUAAGCCCUCUAAUGUAACAAUAUCCCAGCAGCCCCCUCCACUUUUCAUCCUAUGCACUGCCCCUCACUGGGCAUUCUGCGCCCAGAGGGACCGGUCUCCCCGACUUGGGACCGGUCCCCGAGAGCUUCAGCUCGGGUCACGCGUUCGGGUACCGGUCUCUCCCAGAGAGACCGAUCCUCGGGAGACCGGUUCCUUCCUGAGAGACCGGUUCCCGAGAACUGGGAUUUCAGGACUUAGCCAUAUUUUGGCUUUUCUCGCUGGUCUCGCGUUCGGGGACCGGUCCCUCACUGCCAGGGACCGGUUGCCUCAAGCAACCCCGCAACUCCCACUGAUGGGACCGGUCCCUCCCUGCCAAGGACCGGUCCCCGAGAGCAGUUUUGCUCUAGUGCAGGUUUUGCACUAUUUGCUCUCGUGGACUCGUUUCCAAUGCACUUUUGGUGAUUAUGAUAUCUUUGGCUUUUCCAAAGCUCACCAAUACGACCCUUGGUCGAUUCUGGAUGAAGUCUAAUCCUCGUAUUUCGAGAAUUCACUUCCUCACAUCCUCCCCUCCUAAAAAGGAGUUUCGUCCUCGAAACGAAUUUACUAUUUUAAUCAACUCCUACCUCAUUGCAUUUCUGUAAAGAGAUGAGGAUAGUGCGCUUUCAUCGUUUCCUCGAGUUCCCACGUGGCCUCACGAUCGUCGUGACCGGUCCAACGAAUCUUCACAUAGGAAAUUUCAUGAUUUCUCAAUUUCCGCACUUCUCGAGCAAUGAUCAUCGCCGGGAACUCUUCAUAGCUUAAAUCCUCUUGUAGAUCCGGCGGUUCAUAGUACAUCACGUGCUCGGGAUCGUGGAUAUACUUGCGAAGGUUAGAAACGUUGAAUACAUCAUGCACACCCGCGAGCUUCGGCGGUAAUGCAAGUCGGUAUGCUACCGCUCCAACACGUUCCAACGCCUCGAAAGGUCCGAUAUAUCGGGGACUUAGCUUUCCCCGCACUCCGAAGCGCUUCACACCUCUCAUAGGUGAAACCUUCAAGAAAACGCGGUCACCCACCGCGAAUUCCAAAUCUCUACGGCGUUUGUCAGAAUAGCUCUUUUGCCUCGACUGUGCCGUAAGUAGUCUCUCGCGAGCGAGAUAGACCUUCUCUUCUGCCUCCCGCAAUACGUCUGGGCCCAAUGCCGCAUGCUCACCCACAUCGCUCCAACAUAUAGGAGAUCCGCACUUCCGUCCAUAUAGGACCUCGAACGGUGCCAUCCCAAUGCUAGCUUGAUAACUGUUAUUGUAGGCGAACUUGGCAAUCCUCAAAUGGUUUGCCCAACUACUCUUGUAGUCAAUGACACACGCCCGCAACAUAUCCUCCAGAAUCUGUAUAGUCCUUUCUGACUGUCCGUCUGUCUGAGGAUGAAACGCGGUGCUGAAAUCGAGCCGUGUGCCAAGUGCUUCCUGCAGGCUUUUCCAAAAGUGCGAAGUAAAACGGGGGUCUCGAUCUGACACGAUCGACUUCGGAAUCCCGUGCAACCUCACAACUUCAUCCAAGUAUACCUGCGCCAACUUGUCGCCCGACCAGGUGGUGUGAAUCGGUAGAAAGUGUGCCGACUUGGUCAUACGAUCCACAAUCACCCAGAUCGCGUCGUGGCCACCCGUCAAACGGGGCAAUCCGACCACGAAGUCCAUCGCUAUAUUCUCCCAUUUCCAAACGGGAAUAGGUAAACUUUGGAGCUUUCCCGCUGAAAAUCGGCGCUCAGCCUUCACUUGCUGGCAUAUUAAACAUUGCGCUACAUAGCGCCCAAUAUCCGCUUUCAUGCCCGGCCACCAGUACUGCAUCUUCAGAUCACGGUACAUCUUGGUGCCGCCCGGGUGAAUGCUAUAAGGAGUCCGAUGUGCUUCUUGUAAGAUCAACUUCCGGGCCUCCUCGUUUUUCGGUACGCACCAUCGGUUCCGAAAUCGAAGCGCACCCUCGGCGUCUAUAUUGAAAUCACCGCCGUGUCCACUUUCGAUGUCUCGCCGCACUUUUUGGAGGUUAGGGUCUGCAGGUUGCAAACUCUUGAUCUGCUCCAACAAGGUCGGUUGGACAACGAGAGCCGUAAGCAUAGACGGAAUUUCCGGAGCUACCACCUCUAGAUCCAAUCAUUCCAUCUCUCUCCAUAGUGGUUCUUGACGUGUGACUAACAUAGCAAGAUUCUCCACUGACUUCCUGCUAAGCGCUUCGGCCACCACGUUUGCUUUUCCGGGGUGGUAUAGGAUUGUAACAUCGAAAUCCUUUAGCAACUCAAACCACCGCCGCUGCCGCAUAUUAAGCUCUUUCUGUGUGAAAAGGUACUUCAGACUUUUGUGGUCCGUGUAUAUCUCGCAACGCGCGCCAUACAGGUAGUGCCUCCAUAGCUUGAGGGCAAACACUACGGCGGCCAACUCUAAGUCAUGGACAGGGUAGUUCUUCUCAUAGCUUUUCAAUUGACGGGACGCAUAAGCGAUCACCUUCCCGCCUUGCAUCAGAACACACCCUAAGCCCGAUUGUGACGCGUUGCUAUACACCACAAAGUCUUCAUCUUGCACCGGUAAGGCGAGCACCGGAGUCGAAGUUAAUCUAUCCUUCAACUCUUGAAAACUCCGGUUGCACUCGUCAUUCCAAAUGAACUUGGUGCCUUUUCGAGUCAGAUGGGUAAGUGGACCCACGAUCUUCGAGAAUCCCUCCACGAACCGUCUAUAAUAACCCGCUAAACCUACAAAGCUUCGAACUUCCGUGACGUUAGUCGGGCGAGGCCAAUCCUUGAUCGCCUCCACUUUCCUCGGGUCAACAGAUACUCCUCCCUCGGAAAUGACAUGCCCAAGAAAUGCAACCUCUCGGAGCCAAAAGUUGCAUUUCUUAAACUUAGCAUAUAGCUUCUCCUCCCGGAGGACUUAAAGCACUAUUCUCAAAUGCUCGGCAUGUUCCUCGUCGCUACGCGAGUAGACUAAGAUGUCGUCUAUGAAGACCACGACAAAUCGGUCCAAGUACUCCUUGAAGACACGGUUCAUUAGAUCCAUGAACGCUGCCGGGACGUUAGUGAGCCCAAACGGCAUGACCGUGAAUUCAUAGUGUCCGUACCGCGUGCGAAAUGCGGUCUUUUGCACAUCUUCCGGUUUGAUCUUAAGUUGGUGAUAACCGGACUGCAGAUCGAUCUUUGAAUAAACCCGAGACCCUUGCAACUGAUCAAACAGAUCGUCAAUUCUCGGCAACGGGUACUUAUUCUUGAUCGUGACCUUUUUCAACUCGCGAUAGUCGACGUAGAGUUGAAACGAUCCAUCCUUCUUUCGCACAAAUAGAACCGGGGCUCCCCACGGCGAUACACUUGGCCGUAUAAAUCCUUUAUCAAGGAGAUCCAAUAAUUGAGCCCGCAAUUCCUUCAAUUCCGCCGGCGCCAUCCGAUACGGAGCCUUCGACACAGGCGCGGUUCCUGGAACCAAGUCUAUCACGAACUCGAUCUUCCGGUCUGGCGGCAUUCCCGGCAACUCCGCGGAAAAUACAUCAGAAAAUUCCUGAACCACGGAUAGUUCCUCAAGUGCCGCAGUCGCCCUCUCGACUUCCACAACAGUCGCCAAGUAGGCCGUACAACCGCCGUUAAUCAACUUCCUCGCCCUCGUCGCCGAUACCAUAGCGGCGAAGUGCGAGCUUCUAUAGGCCCGGUAGACAAAUUCCUCUUGUCCCGGUUCACGAAACGUAAUCACUUUACUUCUACAGUGAAUAGUUGCAUAGUACUUCGAAAGCCAAUCCAUUCCUAGAAUGACGUCGAAGUCUUUCAACUUCUUGAAUACCAACAUACGGAUGGGCAUUAUCCAAUCGCCCAACCGCACGGGACAAGACGAACACUCCAUACGUACUAGAAAAUCACGUCCGGGGCCCGAUACUCUCCAAGUGCUUUUACUCUCUUGUAGUUCUAUGUCAUGCAUGCGUGCAAAUGACCUACUGAUGAAUGAAUGCAUAGCACCUGUAUCAAACAUAGCCCUAGAGCGAACUCCGUUAAUUAAAACCAUACCUGCGAGUACAUGGCGAUCCUCCGCCUCAGCAGGUUCCUCGGCUUGAGUUUGAGCGGCAAACACCCGCCCACUCAGAGCCGAUCUCGUCGCCUCAGGUUGGCGUGGCACCAUCGCACGUCCGGCCGAUGACGCAGCAGGUGGGACUCCUCCAUAAUGCGCUGGGGUCGCCGGAGCCGACGCGACCAAAGGGGCAGGCGAAGCCCUCAUUCGACAGUGGCGGCUGAUAUGGCCCGCCUGUCCACACGUGAAGCACUUUCCCUCCCGUUGAUCACACAUCCUCGGCUCGUGGUUCCCACCGCAGAUUAUGCACCGCUGCGGUCCGCGGCCCUUGGAUUGCGUUCGCGGGUACUUCGGGGGCUUCCUUGGCCUCGAUUGAGCUCCCGAGCUACUCUGAGCCCGCUUCUUGCCACCGUCCUUCUCGGACGCUUCUCGCUCCUCCCGGAUGUGAGCGUUUCCUUGCUCCGACCACAACGCUCGAUCGAGCACCUCCGCGAAGGUAGUGAGCUUCAGAAUGUGCAACGCCCGGUAGAUAUCGGCCCGGAGCCCUCGCUCGAACCAAUCGGCUCGAUCCCUGUCAUCCCGCACUACGUCGGGGACGCAGUCAAUGAUGUGAGAGAACUCCUGCUCAUAUUCCGCCACCGUGCGGCCACCUUGCUUCAACUUUCGAAAUUGCUCUUGCUUCUUCUUCUCGCUAUCGGGGAAGUAGUUGACAUAGAACAAUCCCCGAAAUUCCUCCCACGUCAUCGGCGGAAGGUCGGAAGCCCGGUUCCUCUUGAUUCGCUUCCACCAAACCUUCGCCGUUUGCUCCAAACAAUGAGUGGCGAGGUAGACCUUGUCCCUCUCUGAGGUGUAGAGGUCCUCGAACAAGGUCUCCGUCGAGUCCACCCAUGACUCGACCAUCCAUGGCUCGACCUUCUCUCCCUCGAAGGUCGGUGGAUUAAACCUUCGAAACUUCUCGAGAGCCGCAAGUGCGCGGUCCCUCUCCGCCUCCAAUGCCGUCGUAUCGGGUGCCGUAGAACCCGACGCCGCCAGAGGAACGCUCGCCGGCGGGGGACGUGCCGCCACCGGAACUGCCGCAAUGCCCUCGCCCUCAGCCGCCGUAGGCGCACGAGCUGGAGGCGGGGGCGGAUCACGGCCCUCAGUCGCAGCUGCAGUUGCCGCUGCAAAAUGCCGCUCCAUAAGCCCUUGGAGCUGCUCAAACCGACUCUCCUGGCGCUGUACAAUGCCUGUUAAUGCCGACACUUGCGCCCGUAACUCCCUCACUUCACUAGAUCCGGCUUCCUCGGGCACCUCAGGAGAUGGUGCCGGAACGGACCUACGCACGUAGCGUCUUGGGGACAUUGUUCCUGCAACGCAACAACCGGGUUAGUCAUCUAACCCACUUAUCUCCGUCGCAUACACUAUAUUACGCGACACAACUCCGCCAUAAGCGGACGUACACAUGUAUUAGUCCUAACUCUUAGCGUCGUGUUGUCGGCCGCCAACACAACUCCGCGACCUUGGAACUAACACCGCUCGGAUCCAUCUCUAGCCACACUAGAGGUCUACACUCGAUCCGACCUAAUCGGAUUCUUCCUCAACCGAUAUAGGUUUACGUUCCUCUCACGUACCUAUACAACCCUAGGGUUCACCGUCCUAAGGUCUCUUAGGUCCAUCCUAGACCCUCUCUUUACUUGCUCUUAAUUGCUCUGAUACCAACUUUCUUUUGUCAUGCCCCGCCCCGAAUCCACUACCAAUUUGGCACGGUUCGGGCGCGCCGGACGGACCGCCGAACGGACAGCACCUCUCCUGUCCGCCCAAGGCCAAGCAACCAGAUGAUGUACAAGAAUUUGCCCAGGAGAAUAAAUUCAAUACAUACAUGAUCGACUAAGGCACACAAGUACAAAGUAACUAAGAGCAAGAACCACAAGUGAAUGUAUAAGUGUAUAAAGAGAGAUAGUCUAACUAUUACAACCAUUCAAUAUUUACAUCAUUGAAUAUAUUACAUUUCCACCUUCCAAAAUGUAAAUAUAUGUUUUCCUCAAAAUAUAUAGGUAGCUCUCCAAUAUCUAUCCAAAACAUCAUCUAGUACACGAGGGUACUCUAAUGCAUAAAAGGAAAAGCUACUAACUAAGCUCACUUAAGGCGCUAAGCCCUUGCCGCGAUCCUCGCUCGACUCACCUCUGUGUGUACCUGUACCCCAAAACCACACGGGGUGAGAACUAUAUAAAUAUAGUUCCCAGUGGGUUCGGCCGCCGACGCCGCCGGUUCUCCCACUAGGUCUAAGCUGGCACAGAUAGAGAGAUAGAUAGAUAUACGUAGAAAAUAAACUGCAACUACUCUAUCAUGCCAUCAAUGAUAAUAAUGCAUGCAACAACUACUAUCAUGCUAGUAUCAUGUCAUGAGUAUAUAAAGGUGCAUAGUAAUGUAAACUACAACAUACACUAUGUCUACUCAAGGUAACUAGUUCAAUGCCACUCUACUAGACUAUGUCCAAGUUCGGCUCUCUAUGCCGCUAUAGGAUUCUAUGUCACAAGACCCAAUCCUCAUGCUAUCCUAGUCCACGUGUCAAGCUCACCCCGCUACA
rnacentral:lncRNA from 1 species